rnacentral:rRNA from 1 species
AACGAACGCUGGCGGCAUGCCUAACACAUGCAAGUCGAACGAGACCUUCGUGUCUAGUGGCGCACGGGUGCGUAACGCGUGGGAACCUGCCCUUAGGUUCGGAAUAACUCCCCGAAAGGGGUGCUAAUACCGGAUAAUGUCUUCGGACCAAAGAUUUAUCGCGUUGGGAUGGGCCCGCGUUGGCUUAGCUAGUUGGUAGUGUAAAAGCCUACCAAGGGGACGAUUCAUAGCUGGUCUGGGAGGAUGAUCAGCCAGACUGGGACUGAGACACGGACCAGACUCCUACGGGAGGCAGCAGUGGGGAAUAUUGGACACUGAGCGAAAGCCUGAUCCAGCAAUGCCGCGUGAGUGAUGAAGGCCUUAGGGUUGUAAAGCUCUUUUACCCGGGAUGAUAAUGACAGUACCGGGAGAAUAAGCACCGGCUAACUCCGUG